rnacentral:rRNA from 1 species
CCAUGGAUGGCUUUGCGGUGCAUUAGCUAGUUGGUGGGGUAACGGCCCACCAAGGCGACGAUGCAUAGCCGACCUGAGAGGGUGAUCGGCCACACUGGNACUGAGACACGGCCCACACUCCUACGGGAGGCAGCAGUGGGGAAUCUUCCACAAUGGACGAAAGUCUGAUGGAGCAACGCCGCGUGAACNAUGAAGGCUUUCGGGUCGUAAAGUUCUGUUGUAAGGGAAGAACAAGUGCCGCAGGCAAUGGCGGCACCUUGACGGUGCCUUGCGAGAAAGCCACGGCUAACUACGUGCCAUCAGCCGCGGUAAUACGUAAGUNGCAAGCGUUGUCCGGAAUUAUUGGGCGUAAAGCGCGCGCAGGCGGCCUCUUCAGUCUGAUGUGAAAGCCCCCGGCUCANCCGGGGAGGGCCAUUGGAAACUGGGAGGCUUGAGUAUAGAAUAGAAGAGUGGAAUUCCACGUGUAGCGGU